AUACAAAUGUAAGAGAACUGCCGAAAGUAACGUAGAA
rnacentral:guide_RNA from 1 species